rnacentral:rRNA from 1 species
UGGGGAAUAUUGCACAAUGGGCGCAAGCCUGAUGCAGCAACGCCGCGUGAGGGCCGACGGCCUUCGGGUUGUAAACCUCUUUUGGCAGGGAAGAAGCGAAAGUGACGGUACCUGCAGAAAAAGCACCGGCUAACUACGUGCCAGCAGCCGCGGUGCUACGUAGGGUGCAAGCGUUGUCCGGAAUUAUUGGGCGUAAAGAGCUCGUAGGCGGUUUGUCGCGUCUGCUGUGAAAACCCGAGGCUCAACCUCGGGCCUGCAGUGGGUACGGGCAAACUAGAGUGCGGUAGGGGAGAUUGGAAUUCCUGGUGUAGCGGUGGAAUGCGCAGAUAUCAGGAGGAACACCGAUGGCGAAGGCAGAUCUCUGGGCCGUAACUGACGCUGAGGAGCGAAAGCAUGGGGAGCGAACA